AGAGUUUGAUCAUGGCUCAGAAUCAACGCUGGCGGCGUGCCUCAGACAUGCAAGUCGAACGAUUAAAGCUCUCUUCGGAGAGUGUAUAGAGUGGCGCACGGGUGAGUAACACGUAAGUAAUCUGCCUUUGAGUGGGGAAUAACAGUCGGAAACGACUGCUAAUACCGCAUAACGCAGCGGCACCGCAAGGUGACAGUUGUUAAAGGAGCAAUCCGCUUAAAGAGGAGCUUGCGGCAGAUUAGCUAGUUGGUAAGGUAAUGGCUUACCAAGGCUACGAUCUGUAUCCGGCCUGAGAGGGCGGUCGGACACACUGACACUGAAUAACGGGUCAGACUCCUACGGGAGGCAGCAGUCGGGAAUUUUGGGCAAUGGGCGAAAGCCUGACCCAGCAACGCCGCGUGAAGGAUGAAGUAUUUCGGUAUGUAAACUUCGAAAGAAUGGGAAGAAUAAAUGACGGUACCAUUUAUAAGGUCCGGCUAACUACGUGCCAGCAGCCGCGGUAAUACGUAGGGACCAAGCGUUGUUCGGAUUUACUGGGCGUAAAGGGCGCGUAGGCGGCGUGACAAGUCACUUGUGAAAUCUCCGGGCUUAACUCGGAACGGCCAAGUGAAACUGUCAUGCUAGAGUGCAGAAGGGGCAAUCGGAAUUCUUGGUGUAGCGGUGAAAUGCGUAGAUAUCAAGAGGAACACCUGAGGUGAAGAC
rnacentral:rRNA from 1 species